UGACCAAGGGGCCGGGCAGCUCUGAUCGAUGCAGUUCGGAGCAGCCUAGGGGUACAAGGAGUGCCUCCGUCGAGGGCCGGGUCAGGAAAGCA
rfam:Pseudomonas putida CSV86 contig00122, whole genome shotgun sequence.